UCAGGCCUUCCUCUUUCUUGAGACAUCUCUAGAGUGCUUUUUGUUCUCUUCUAAGUAUCUAUUGAUAUACAAAAAAUAAAAAAUAAUAAUAAUAAAAAAAACACCAACAUUGGUUAUGGGCCACACUUCCAGGUGGCUCUUAUAGGAGCUGCUUUGCAUUUAAAAAAUUUUCAGGUCAUUUUCCAGUCCUUAUCAGCUCCAAGCCUGGUACACUUCAUAAGCACCUAGUAGCAGUUGAUAGAUCUUGGGCGAAGCUACUGGUUUGCAGGCAGUCACUUUUACGUGUCUUGUUUCUCUUGCUGACUUACUUCCCGUUGCUCUUGUUCUGAACACUGGUCUAUAUAACUUUCUAGGUGAAUCAUUAAAACUCACACAUCUCAGCCAAUUUAAGUCAAUGUAACUAUGGAACAUAAAACUCUCCAACAAAAAGAAUAAGCUGUUACCAAACAUUUAAAUUUUAUUAAAACAAAUCAGAAUUUAUAUAAAAUUUCAUUUGAAAGUAUUGAAAAUCUUCACUGUAACUCAAGUGCAGUUAUUAACUAUGCAGUUUCUGGUACAUAAAAUGGUGACACAUUAUUAAUAUAAAUAAAUCUUACCUACCUUUCUCUCCAAAACACCACAUACAAACAAAAUAUUUUUGUAGGUAUUUAAUUAUUUUCUCUGCUGUUCUCUACUAUCAAAAAGGCAGAUAUGAGUUUAAAAGCAAUAGUAUAAAUUUAUUGUGCAUACUUCUGUCACUUAUUCAGUGCUAAGGAUCUUUAAAUUUCAAAAUACAGCAAUAAGAACGAGCAUUAUUCUCAUGAUGGUCUGUAUGUGACUUCUGAUGUAAUUAUCCAUACGUUAACAGAAAUACAAUGUUUUUGUUAUGAGUUACAACUACACUCAAAGAGAUCUACCAUAGAGAUAUUGGUAUAAAGUUUUUAAAGAUUUCAGGUAUUUGGAGUCAAACAGAAUUAUUUUGAGGAUAAUUGGAGAGAGAGGAUAUGAAGAAACAUGACAUUAAUUAUACAGAUUAAUAUGCUAUGUGUUUUCUUUAGGGAAAAGGAUUGGGAAGCUGAUGUCAGUAUCAUAAUUUUCUCAUUAGUAGAAUAUAACUAUGGCCCAUGGGCACUGCCAAAUUUAGAGACCCUGGACUUCUUAAUAAAACACUGGUGAAAAGUCUCCUGCACCACCAUAGCUAAUAGUUCAUUGGUUUUGGAAUCAAGCUAGUAAUGGAAAAAUGCUGUUCUUCAUGUCCACAAGUCUUCUACAUGACCUGCAUCAAGAUUACCCUGACCAGCAGAUGCCUCAGCAGCAGAAUACCUAAUAAGAUCUCUUUGAAAGAACAUAUGCAAUCUAGCAGCCCCCAAACUGUGAAUGACUGUCAUAAAUUUCAGUACACUGGGUCUGUGUGGAUAAGAUAGUCUUACUCCCUGAAUGACUCACUAGACCAAAGGAAAGUAGUCUGCACUAUCACCUGAUGUAGCAUUUCAAAUGCUGUUUAUUAUCAAGGGCAUUUAUCUGUUUGUUUGUGUAAAAGAGUGCUUUUGAUCAAUGAAUAAAUUUGACACACAUAUCCAGGAAAUAAUACCAAAUUAACCUUUAAAUUGUUUCAUUUAGGAAUUCAUUUAUAUUCUGAGAAAUGUUCCAUAUUUUUUUUCUUAGUUGAGACUUUUCAUUGUAUCUUUCAGCAAUUUUGUCAUUAAUAUGCUCACUAACACAUUAAUGGAAGUCUGUUGUUCACAGUGUUUCAUUUUUUCAUAUUAAUUCAUAUUGUACUAUUUGUAUUCACGGUGGUGAACACUCCUUUUGAUCUGCAUCUUAUCACAUUAAUGAUUUUGCUACAAAAACCAUUGUAUUUUGAGACUUCAAUAAUCUGUUAGAAAAUUUAAAUACUAAUAAUUCAAAGUUGAUCAAAACAUAUGGCAAAAAGGUCAAUAUAUGAGCAGUAAUAAUCAGGGGUUAGCAAAGCUACUAGAAAAAUACAAAACUCAUCAAUAACCACUGUAUCAAAUAUUUUUAAAGAUGAAUAAUGACAUGAGAAUCUAGAGUUAGAUUGUUAAUUAAUUAUUAUUGCAUAAUUUGUAACUAAACUUAUUUCCAACAUUAAUUAAAUAGAUAAGGAUAUUGACACUGUUUUUAUGCCCUGUUGUUAUGCAUUUUCAUCUACAUCUUUUUCUCCCUCUCUGUCCUUUUUAUUCAGUGUAUCUGUAUUAGUUUUGCUCUCUGUUGAUGUGUUGUCCACAUUAUUCAGGCUGCUCCUGAAAACACAUUCAGACAUUUUCACAUUUCAAACAACUCAGUUCUAUGAGUACCUGUGGUAAAUAUGUAAAAUCCAGAAGGCUGUGGGGAAUUUGAAGCUAGGUAAAAAGGGCUUUCUUUCAUCCAUACUGUAUGCAGUACUGGGUUGAUGGUCAUUCUUUUUAGAAAUUAUAUUAUAUUUGUCACUUUCCAAUACCUCGAUGACAACCAAUCCUUAUUUUUUUUAGUAUCAGAUAAAUGCAAGCCAAAGUAAUCAAACUUCAGCUGGGAAUGUUUGAUUGUGGGCAGCUAAAGUUUCUAAACAUUAUCUUGUAUUUAAGCAUUUAAAUUCUAUUUUGUUUCAUUUCUUUAAAUACAGUUCCUCUGCAGAUUUGGAGGUAAAGGUUUUUAUUUACAAUAUUAAGCUUUGUUCCAAUUAUGCAGCACACCAGUAUGCUCUGGAGUUUAAGCAAGUAAACGACUGGAGAAACAGAAGUAAUGUUAUUUCUUAAGAAAGUUAAAAGAGAGAUGUGAAAUUUCCAGGAUCAAAACACACAAAAAAAAUGUUUCUAUCAAGACACAAAGUGGGUUUUGGUGUUCUUAGAUUCACAUCUAUUCAGUUCAAAAUUGCCUUCUUAAAAUGAUGUAUUUAAUAAUAAAGAAAGCACAGAAGUAGACUUCCAACUGCAAAACUGAUUUUGCUACUGUCACAGGCCAGGAUUUUAAUUAUUUAAUUAUUUAUUAAAAAGGGUUUCUUUGUAUAUUAUAGCUAAUUAAGUCUUAGGUUAGCUCAUCUUAGACAGCUAUAUACAAAACCUUUACCACUUUUUGCAGGCUCUCGUGUUAAAUGUUUCAUACUCACAAAGUAAUUCAGGUUUGUUCUAAGCUGAGAGUAUUUCAGGCAGGCUUCUGAACCUGCAAGCUAUUCUGUGCAGUUUGACCUUUCCAUCUGAGCACAGACUUUCUAACUCCCACAGCAGUGGUCUCUGGUGUCAGGGGCUGCCUACACACAGCAGCUUGCAAGACCAGAAUCAUCAUCAUGCAGGAGGAUCCAAAAGUACAUUAAAAGGCCACAUCAAAAAUCUAUAGAUGUGAAAUUAUUACUGGUUAGAUGUAUCAGAGGAGCUAUCUAUUAUCAGAGCUAUCAGAGGAGAUUUCCUAUAGUUCCAAUUAAAGUUUCAACUUUGGAACUUAGACUGCUAAGUUCUAUGACUACAAAUAGUCAUAGGAAUCUUUCUUGUGUAAAGAAGUAAAUCACCUUUGCUAUAAGUUAAAAUAAAAUAAAAUAAUUCCAUAUAUAUUUAAUAUGUUGCAGAAUUUGUUGUAUUCAUACGUUAUAUGAUACAAGUGGAAAAUCAACUAAUCUUCCUGAUCAUGCUCCUAAACGUUUGCUCUCCAGCUAACACAAUAUUACAGAUGAUUACAACUAAUUCAUGAGUAAAACUUAUCUUCCAUUUCAUCGCCACUGCCUCUCUCUAUUUAAGUGCUCAGAUUCCUGAAAUGCAAAUGUACCAGGAGGUAGUAUUUCAGAUUUCCAUAGUUUCAUCCUUGUCACCCUAUGCAUCCAUCCAUCCAAAGGUUCCUGUUUCUCUGUCCACCAGAUUUAAGGCUCCCAACAACAUUAUCAAGUGCAUUCACCAGCCCCCAUCUGUCUUUCAUCUCUCCUUUGGACUUGAGGUCAGUUUAACAUUUGUUUGCCCUAUGGUGUUAACUAAUCAUUCUAUUUUUCCAGCAGGUAUAUUUAUAUUUUGUUUGAUGCUAGGCCACCUGCUUUAAGGAGAACUUCAUCAGUGAUGUCCAGAAAGCACUUCAUCAGUCUUUAAGUCAUUGCUUGACAUUCUUUUGCCGCAGUAACUUUCAAACAUACAAAUACCCUUUGGCAGCAGGUAUGCAGGAGAUGUACUUACACUCCUGCCUGCUAGGAUGACAAAUUUUGUCUCCCCUGGUGUGUUCAGAAAAGAAGGGUGGUUUGAGACUGUGUAAACAUUCAAGUUUGCUUUAAACUGCCCUUAGGCAUUCCACUGGCUCCUUGGACACCAAAUCCUCUGUAUCUCAGUUUUAUCUUUCCUCUUUAGAUUGGAGAUGUUAAAAGAAUAUGAACCACAAUUUUGGUUUUGCAGUUUUAUAGUAGGCCCCACAUACAGGGGACAAAAUGGAGUCCCAGUUCCUGAUAGAUUUCUAGAUAUUUUCAUUUAAAUUCAUUAAAUAAAGUAAAAAUAAAAUAAAAUGAUAAAACUAAACAAAAUAAUUAUGAAAUUGGAUUCCCUGUGAAGAAUCCAAGUUAAUCCUAUCUAUUGAGACUGGUGAGUUGCUGCAUAUGAAUGAGAUCUGUUAGGCUAUUUCCUUAGUCUUACUCCUGCAGAAGUACUGCAAAAGUAAUGGCCUGCUCUUAAAAUGAAUAUCUAACCUAAUCUUGGUGCAGUGUUGCAAACCAUAGCUGCUGAGUACAGGUUGCUUUUUUUGUUGUUUGCUUUGGAUUUUUUUUGUUUUGUUUCGUUUUUUUUAAUUCCAUGGAAGAAUGAAGCCCAACAGUGAUCUUCCUGAGUUGUCCCUUUUUUCUUUUUUUUCCCCAGAAAGAUGAGGAAAUAGACUUCUAAUAACAUGAUAAGUCACAGUAGGACAUACAAAAACAACUUUGCAUUCUGCUUCCUAGUAGGUUUUAUGGAGAGCCUGGAGGCUGAAUCACCAGCACUUUUUCUUUGCCUUUCCUUUCCUUUCCUUACCUUUCUGUGAAAUGAUGUUGUGAUUUUACUGCUGGGAACAAAUGUACAAACACGAAAAAUGAAAUCAAGGAUUAAAAUUUUACUCAAGUCAGUCUGAAAUAUAUUUUAUUUUGACAACUCUGUUCCUUUUUUCCUAUUGCUUAUUCAACCACCUGAGUUCUCGUUUUAGUUUGAAUGUGUUUUCAGCUUAGCAGGAUACUAAAUGAUUCUGCUUGCAUGUCUGGUUUUUUGUUGUUGUUUUGUUUGUUUUGGGUUUUGGGUUUUGUUUUGUUUGUUUGUUUUUUGUUUUUUGGGUUGUUUUUUUUUUUUUUUUUUUUUUUUUUGGCUUUCCAAAUAUUUAAUUGAACUCCCAUUUCUGGUACCACAAACUUGCCAGGUUACUUGCAUAAUACAAAGACUUUAAAACUUUCCAAUUGAGUUUUAUUUUUUACUUGAAUCUAAUUACUACUGUUGGACCUGGCCUUGUUUUCGCCGUUAUUCACUCUUCGAAGUUACUCAUUUCAGAGCUUUUAAAAAUCAUUCAAGUAAUUUGUCCAAUCAAGUUAGAUACUUGGUUAUUAUUAGUUGUUUUUUCCUGCAAGUCCAUGUAAGUAGUCCAGCUCCAUCUAUCUGUAUGAUCUAUUGAGCUGUGCUAUCUAUUUAUGACAUAAUGGAAAAGCAGGCAAGAGUGAUGGGAUCUGUGUGCUUGGCAGUAGCAGUUGCAAUCAAUAUUCCAGACAUGAACAUGCUGUCAGAAAUUAAGGAUGCACAGAACUGUAUUAUUUUAUCAUAGGCUGGGUUAUUUUCAAAGGAAUCUGGGGGACUUAGAGGCCCAGUUCUCAUUAAAUUCUAAUGGGAACUGGGAGUCAAAUGUUAUUGAGCUGUCUUCAAAAAAAAUCACAGCAGUGGAGAAUAAUUUGAUGAGGUCACCCAAUGAAGAUAAAUUCACCAUGAUUUCUACAUGCAGUUAAACAGCUUCUUGGGCUUAAUUCUUCCAUUUUAAGAGGAUUAAGGAUACCAAAAUAAAUUGUAUUUAUAUUUUCAUAGGAUUUUCAAUAAUGUUUUCCUAGCAAUAGUCUGGUUUAUUUUUUCCUUUUAGAGUCAAAUUGUUUUUAAUGUCAUACUUUGUCCUCACUUUCCCACAAUCUCAAGAGGAAGUGAUGAAAAAUGCAACUGCAGAUACAAUCUGCAAAACCUGGGGAGAGGCAGGGGUAAGGAAAGCAAGUAUGCAGUAGACAUUCUAUUACUUUCAUAUUCCGUGGGUAAUCGUGGAAGAAAGAAAGGGUGUGCUCAAGUUCAUAUAUCAUUUGAGUAGGAAGGAACCCUUAACGGUCAUCCUUGCAAUGAAAAAGGAUAUCCAAAGGUAGAUCAUGUUGCUUAGAACUCCUCCAACCUGAUCUUCAGUGUCUCCAGGGAGAGGGAAUCCACCAUUUCUCAGGGAAAUAUGUUACAAUGCCUCACCAUCCUCACUGUAAAAGACUUUUUCCUUAUAUCCUCUCUUUUAGUUUGAAAUCAUUUCCCCUUUUUCUAUCAUCACAGACCCUGCCAAAGAGUCUGUCCCCUUCUCUCCUGUAGGUCCCCCUUAGAUACUGAAAGGCAGCUAUCAGGCCACUUUUUAUGAGGGCAUGUAGGAACCUGGUCUAGUAGGAGAUGUCCCUGCUUAUAGCAGAGAGGUUGGAACUAGGGAUCUUAAGAAACCCUUUCAAGACAAACCAUUCUAUGAUUCUAUAAUUCUAUGACUCCUUCAAUAAUGUAGUUAUAUAUUAAAUUUUGUUCAAAUCCUUGUCAAAGACCUAACAACAUGCUGGGCUUCUGUAUAAUAAAAAUAAUGAAAAGAGGCAAACUGGAAUGGCAAGGAUUUUGGAAUGGUGAAGUGGAAUAUUUCCCAUGACCUUCCAGCUGUCCUAGAAGCAAUGGUCAGCAAGCUGGCUUGAUACCUUCUGUAUCAGUGCUCAUGUGUUUCCUCAUACAGGCAGAAAUACUUCUCAAUUUUUUCUUCUCACUUCAUGAUUCUACAGGAAAGUGUUUCAGCAAUUUGAAAUUUCACUCCUGUAAAAAGACUAAUUUUACAAUAACAGUGGGCAAAUUUAUAAAAGACUUAUAUAAGAAUGAUGGAGAUCUGUCUUUCUGGAUCAGAUUUUUUGUAAGACAUGCAAACUGUACAGCCCACUUGAAGAAUCCUGUUCUCGUCUCAUCACUGCAAAUAAAUAAUUCAACAAAUUUACAGGAGUGUGUUGGAAAUCCAAACCCACAGAUGAGUUCUGAGAUGCUGUUCUUAAUAAAAUCAAGUUUCCUUUGAGUUGAUUCAACUCAUAGAUCAUAAAACCAUAAAACUCUUUUGGGAAACACUCGACAUGUUCAUAAGUUCAUAGUCGUAUUUUCUCUUCCAUACAGUUUCAUAAAAUGGUCACAUAUUUAUAGAAGAGGUUUGCCUGCAAGCCGGGGUAUGCAGCUGAGGUUCUUUUUCUAUCAUUUGUUUUCUGAAAUCGAGGUAUGUAAAACUGAAAAUUAAAUAACAAGUUGAGGGCCUCAACUACUAGUAAGGGGUGAUUAACAGUGGUCUCUCUUUCCUCUCUCUUUUCUUCUUCUCCAAAUAUCCAAUGGUGGUACCAGAUAUACUAAUUAGAAAACCCAGUGCAGUAGUGAGGCAAUUUUCUUUUACAAUGCAACCUUUGCUGUGACUACUCCAUGAAAGUAAGACAAGAUCUGUUAAAAUAAUAUUAAAGAUGAGUUACCCAACUGAAUUAGAAAGUAGGUUUUAUACAAAAGAAGUGAGCAGGGAAAUAAAUAUAGAAUCAUAGAAUCAUAGAAUAUCCCGUGUUGGAAGGGAUGCCUAAGGAUUGAGUCCAACUUCUGAUUAAAAUGUAAAUAUGGUGAAUAAAGAAACAGAAAGAUGGAACAACUAGCUUUUUAGUCAAACUAUGCUUUCCUCCUGUCCUUUCAGUUUUCCACCAGUUCAAGUUUUCUCUAAACAUAUGAAUAUAUUUAUAGACAUACAGCUAUGCAUACAUGCAUGAACAUACACAUCUAUUCAGUGGAUGUGAAACAGCCUUCUAUCUAGCACAUUGUACCUAUGAUAAUAUAAUGGCUCCAGUUUAGUUAAAAUUUACAUAUGAUCCUUCACAUAGAACUCAGAUAUCUUAGAACACAGUUUUAUAUGAUGUUAAUGCAGCUAACAGUUCCAAAGAAAUAUAUCUGUUAUCCCCACUGUGGCUAUUCUGUAUUCUUUGUCAGAUUUCAUUUUUAUUACCAAUAGUCAUUCCACAAUUCUCAUACUUUAUUAAAAGACAUUUGUUUUUUUAUGAGGGAAUGUUUUCUAAACUUAUGAUCUCAUUACAAUUAACAACAAUAACUUGCAGCAUUGAUUUCCAGAAGAAAAAAAAAAAAACAAAACAUGAGAAAAUGGAUGCAUUUUUAAACAACUAAGUGUUUUGCUUGGUUGUGGUUUUGUUUUUGGUUUUGGUUUUUCUUUUCAUCUUCUCUCCACUCAGAAUGUUUCUAAAUGUUACUGGAAGUACUGUCCUUCACAUAGUCAUUGAAACUCCAAAGUGCCUAUGAGUAAAGUAAUACAUUCUCAAUCAGUUGAAAAUAAUUGGGUGGAAAACAUUCUGCUACUUCCAGACCCAGUCAAAUCAGUGUAAUGGUUUCUGAGAAAGAAGAAACUUUAUUCAACUUUCAUUCAUGUAAAGAAUGAGAUAAUAGAAGACUUCCAUGGUAGAUAAGCACCCUGCAGGUACUGUAGCUUGUUGCAGCAUACAUAAGGCCUUGUUGGGUACAUCACUUAAGGUAAAAACUCUCUUAAAUUGUAUUCUUCCUCCAGGCUUCAAAUACUUUUUUUUUUUUUUUUUUUAAUGGAGUGAAACAGUUUCUGGAGGGAUUUUGAACCCCAGUAUGACUUUUUCUUUUGAAUGGCAGCUCUGAUCUUGGAGAAUUUUCUAUAGUUCUUCCCCAUCUUUAAUUAGGUAAAAUUUUCCUAUACAGCAAUACCUGGGAUCUCACCAUCAGCUUAAAUCAUUAUUUCCUAAUCAGACCAAGAAAAACAAAAACAAUCAAUGGUAUGGAUGUGUCUUUUUGGUAUUCUUUAUGCCCACAACCUUUGUGUGGUUUUCAGUUUUAAUUGAAAUUCUGUAACAGUAGAGUUCAAAGGCAGAGUGGAUUUCAGCCAGUGUACUGCAGCAACAGCAGCAGCACUGCCAGAGAGGUGUGGUUGUUUGACAAAGAAAAAUGUUCCUUUGCUUUUUAUAGCACACCAUUGUUACCGGCUUCCCUUUUAUUGCAGUGGGAAAGAUAGCCGCCACUUUAGUGUUCAAACGCUGUGCCCAUGAGAAUCCCUUCUCAGCUGCUCGUACCUUUCCAAAUUACAUUCCUCCUGAGCUGAGACUAUUCACCUUCACUCUCCACACAGACACAACUGAUUGAAGAAAGCCUGCAUUAACAAAGAAAUAUCAUUAAAUUAAAAACUGGAAAAAAUAUAGAGCUGUAAACAUGUUAGAGAAGAGUGUUUUGAACAGUGGUGACUAGAAUUUACUCUAACUUGACUUAUUUGACCUUGCUUAUGUUUAACAUUGGUUGAUUUUCAUUCAAGACAUGCUAACAUUUAAAUGAUAUAUGACCUAUAUACACAUACAUGUGAGCAGUAGGAAAAGCAUGAAGAAGGAAAUUAGUUCUUUAAGGAAAGCCUUGCAUAGCUCAACAUUACCAAAAAGGCAUGAAAGACUUCUUAGCAAGGUUUACUAGCUUUUACAUGCUACUUCAUUUUAAAAUGUCCAUUCUCUCAUUUUGAUUCAG
ensembl:lncRNA